rnacentral:rRNA from 1 species
AAUCCAUAGGUUAAUGAGGCGAACCGGGGGAACUGAAACAUCUAAGUACCCCGAGGAAAAGAAAUCAACCGAGAUUCCCCCAGUAGCGGCGAGCGAACGGGGAGGAGCCCAGAGCCUGAAUCAGCAUGUGUGUUAGUGGAAGCGUCUGGAAAGGCGCGCGAUACAGGGUGACAGCCCCGUACACAAAAGCGCAUGUGCUGUGAGCUCGAUGAGUAGGGCGGGACACGUGGUAUCCUGUCUGAAUAUGGGGGGACCAUCCUCCAAGGCUAAAUACUCCUGACUGACCGAUAGUGAACCAGUACCGUGAGGGAAAGGCGAAAAGAACCCCGGCGAGGGGAGUGAAAAAGAACCUGAAACCGUGUACGUACAAGCAGUGGGAGCACCCUUUUGGGUGUGACUGCGUACCUUUUGUAUAAUGGGUCAGCGACUUAUAUUCUGUAGCAAGGUUAACCGAAUAGGGGAGCCGGAGGGAAACCGAGUCUUAAUUGGGCGUUAAGUUGCAGGGUAUAGACCCGAAACCCGGUGAUCUAGCCAUGGGCAGGUUGAAGGUUGGGUAACACUAACUGGAGGACCGAACCGACUAAUGUUGAAAAAUUAGCGGAUGACCUGUGGCUGGGGGUGAAAGGCCAAUCAAACCGGGAGAUAGCUGGUUCUCCCCGAAAGCUAUUUAGGUAGCGCCUCGUGAACUCAUCUCCGGGGGUAGAGCACUGUUUCGGCUAGGGGGCCAUCCCGGCUUACCAACCCGAUGCAAACUGCGAAUACCGGAGAAUGUUAUCACGGGAGACACACGGCGGGUGCUAACGUCCGUCGUGAAGAGGGAAACAACCCAGACCGCCAGCUAAGGUCCCAAAGUCAUGGUUAAGUGGGAAACGAUGUGGGAAGGCCCAGACAGCCAGGAUGUUGGCUUAGAAGCAGCCAUCAUUUAAAGAAAGCGUAAUAGCUCACUGGUCGAGUCGGCCUGCGCGGAAGAUGUAACGGGGCUAAACCAUGCACCGAAGCUGCGGCAGCGACGCUCAGGCGUUGUUGGGUAGGGGAGCGUUCUGUAAGCCUGUGAAGGUGGCCUGUGAGGGUUGCUGGAGGUAUCAGAAGUGCGAAUGCUGACAUAAGUAACGAUAAAGCGGGUGAAAAGCCCGCUCGCCGGAAGACCAAGGGUUCCUGUCCAACGUUAAUCGGGGCAGGGUGAGUCGACCCCUAAGGCGAGGCCGAAAGGCGUAGUCGAUGGGAAACGGGUUAAUAUUCCCGUACUUGGUGUUACUGCGAAGGGGGGACGGAGAAGGCUAUGUUGGCCGGGCGACGGUUGUCCCGGUUUAAGCGUGUAGGCUGGUUUUCCAGGCAAAUCCGGAAAAUCAAG